rnacentral:rRNA from 1 species
GAUGAACGCUGGCGGCGUGCCUAAUACAUGCAAGUCGAGCGAACAGAUGAGGAGCUUGCUCCUCUGACGUUAGCGGCGGACGGGUGAGUAACACGUGGAUAACCUACCUAUAAGACUGGGAUAACUUCGGGAAACCGGAGCUAAUACCGGAUAAUAUAUUGAACCGCAUGGUUCAAUAGUGAAAGACGGUUUUGCUGUCACUUAUAGAUUGAUCCGCGCCGCAUUAGCUAGUUGGUAAGGUAACGGCUUACCAAGGCGACGAUGCGUAGCCGACCUGAGAGGGUGAUCGGCCACACUGGAACUGAGACACGGUCCAGACUCCUACGGGAGGCAGCAGUAGGGAAUCUUCCGCAAUGGGCGAAAGCCUGACGGAGCAACGCCGCGUGAGUGAUGAAGGUCUUCGGAUCGUAAAACUCUGUUAUUAGGGAAGAACAAAUGUGUAAGUAACUAUGCACGUCUUGACGGUACCUAAUCAGAAAGCCACGGCUAACUACGUG